rnacentral:rRNA from 1 species
CGGAAGCCUGAUCCAGCCAUGCCGCGUGAAGGAAUAAGGUCCUAUGGGUCGUAAACUUCUUUUGACGCAGAGCAAUAAGGGACACGCGUGUUCCGAUGAGAGUAUGCGUCGAAUAAGCAUCGGCUAACUCCGUGCCAGCAGCCGCGGUAAUACGGAGGAUGCGAGCGUUAUCCGGAUUUAUUGGGUUUAAAGGGUGCGUAGGCUGUUGGAUAAGUCAGCGGUGAAAUCACCACGCUUAACGUGUUGUGUGCCGUUGAAACUGUCCAGCUUGAAUGCGCUCGUCGUGAGAGGAAUGUGUGGUGUAGCGGUGAAAUGCAUAGAUAUCACACAGAACACCGAUUGCGAAGGCAUCUCACGAGGGCGCUAUUGACGCUGAUGCACGAAAGCGCGGGUAUCGAACAGGAUUAGAUACCCUGGUAGUCCGCGCUGUAAACGAUGAUGACUAACCGUUGGUCUGGUAUGGAUCAGUGGUCAAGCGAAAGCGUUAAGUCAUCCACCUAGGGAGUACGGCCGCAAGGCUGAAACUCAAAGGAAUUGACGGGGGCCCGCACAAGCGGAGGAACAUGUGGUUUAAUUCGAUGAUACGCGAGGAACCU